rnacentral:rRNA from 1 species
GAUGAACGCUGGCGGCGUGCCUAAUACAUGCAAGUCGAGCGAACAGACGAGGAGCUUGCUCCUUUGACGUUAGCGGCGGACGGGUGAGUAACACGUGGGUAACCUACCUAUAAGACUGGGAUAACUUCGGGAAACCGGAGCUAAUACCGGAUAAUAUUUCGAACUGCAUGGUUCGAUAGUGAAAGAUGGCUUUGCUAUCACUUAUAGAUGGACCUGCGCCGUAUUAGCUAGUUGGUAAGGUAACGGCUUACCAAGGCAACGAUACGUAGCCGACCUGAGAGGGUGAUCGGCCACACUGGAACUGAGACACGGUCCAGACUCCUACGGGAGGCAGCAGUAGGGAAUCUUCCGCAAUGGGCGAAAGCCUGACGGAGCAACGCCGCGUGAGUGAUGAAGGUCUUCGGAUCGUAAAACUCUGUUAUUAGGGAAGAACAAACGUGUAAGUAACUAGUGCACGUCUUGACGGUACCUAAUCAGAAAGCCAACGGCUAACUACGUGCCAGCAGCCGCGGUAAUC